rnacentral:rRNA from 1 species
GACGAACCGUGCGAACGUUGUUCGGAAUCACUGGGCAUAAAGGGUGCGUAGGCGGGUUUUUAAGUCAGGGGUGAAAUCCUGGAGCUCAACUCCAGAACUGCCUUUGAUACUGAAGAUCUUGAGUUCGGGAGAGGUGAGUGGAACUGCGAGUGUAGAGGUGAAAUUCGUAGAUAUUCGCAAGAACACCAGUGGCGAAGGCGGCUCACUGGCCCGAUACUGACGCUGAGGCACGAAAGCGUGGGGAGCAAACAGG